CUCUAAAAAAGAAGCAGCUCGGUAUACUAAGCUUCUGAUGUGUGCGGGAUCCGAGGAAAGGUUAGAUAUCUUAGCCAACAUUUCCGCAAGAGGUUGUUUGCACGGCUCGAACGCAUGAGCUCCAGAAUAUUCCUCAAGAUCCCUUAUGAUCGCUGCGCUGAAAGCUGCUCUUGGGGUAUGAAGUUGUCGGGCAUUUCUGGGAUUUGACAUGAUACUUUAUUCUCUGAAUUAUUGAAUAGGAGGAGAGACUAUUGUUCUGAAGUGCUGUUACAAGGAUGAUUGAAUGUGAGAUUCUCAGGUUGAACUGAAGAGGAUUGAAUUAAGGUAUUCUCGAUAGGGGUUUCCAAGAAUGGUGGUGAAGAUUGCUGCUUAUGAAUGUAGUCCUCGGACAAUGAGGAACUUAGACCAGAAUACGCGUUAUUUGGGAUUAGAGCACAAGACAAACCUUUUUGACCAAAGUUGACAGAUUUCCCAUCUGUGCUCAAUCUAAAACCAAUAAACUCCAAACCAGAAUUCGAGUUUGUGGGCUGGUUUGCAUUGCCACUUUGGAUGCUGAAAAGCAUGUUCUUUCUCUUGUCGCCGUAUACUCUGAAGUUACUACCAUGAGCUAUUCUUGGCACAAAUGCUGAAUGCUGUCCAAUCAGGGCAUUAUGAUCUGCUUCUCGCGAAUUUGCAAAAUCCAAGAGACCGUUCAUGCCACCAGUUCCUUGCUGGAAGUAUGUUUGAAAUGGCUGUUGCAUAGAAUGAGAAUAUCCUCGCGAGGCGCUGAAAUUUAGAGAAGAUAGGUAUGGUUGAACUUGAGAGAAUUUCUCUUUAGCGUCAUUUGAUAGGAUUUCAUCAUAGAUAGAAGCAGACGAACUUUUCUGAGCUCUUUUAAGGCACAAGCGAUAUUUCUGCAAAAAGUAUACUCUUUUUGCUUAAUAGCAAUUAAAAUCUAUCCAUAAUAGUAUAUCACAAGAAUUUAAUAUGUCAUGAUUUUGAGAAUGUAGACAAUCAACUUGUGUGACACAUGCAUCAAGGGACAAGGGAUAGGUUCUAGCUCUUAAUGCAAAGAUUUUGCUAGAUAUUAAAUGCUUUGAUCAUGUGCUUACUCAAACUAGAGAUUCAUGUAUUAAUCUCAGAGAUUUUGUACUAAUGAUGCUUUUAUGAUUCA